GACACAUGUCGUCUGAAUGGUCCCCUAAAGAAACCCCUAUCUUGACUAUGAAUUCCAGUAUUACUGCUACAUUUUA